rnacentral:lncRNA from 1 species
GCAUCAAUCUUUAUUAAAUAUAUUUGUAAUAAUAUAUCUUUGGUAUAAAAUUAGUUUCUGUUCCCUGUACAGUACUGAGAGGAAUAUUGUUAUUUUUAAAAUAAUGUGAAUUUAAGGUCUAUCUCUUAAUCAUGUUCCCAAGAUUUAUUACAGGUAAAAUUUUUAUCUAGGCAUGAGCUGACAGGGUGAAAAAAUUUUUUUAAUGAUGUUAUCUAGUAUUUACAGAGUAAAAUUCUAUGCUGUUACAUUGACUGUUUAAUUGGUAGCUCUGUACUCUAUAUAAAAUACGUAAUGAACUUAAAGAUUCUUUCCACAAAGUUGUAGAAAUUGUACAAUUUUUAAAAAAUAACAUCAGUCUCUUUUCUUACAGUGUAAGUACUGAGUUUUCCAACUUUCUCUGAUUUGACAUAUACCUUGUUUUAUAAAUACCUUUGACCUUUUCAAAAAUGUUUUUGAACCUCAACCAUAUUAUCAGUUACAUUAAAUACUUUGGAAGAUCUUGAUAUGACAAUUCAUGGUAAAUUGGGCAGAAAGGAAAAUGAAAUAAUUUAUGAAGAACAGGGUAUUUACCAAUUAGUGUACCCCCUUUUAAAAUCAUUGGUAUAUUUUGAAGAAAGAGUGAUUUCAGAAAACGCGUUUCAUUUAACUUAAUGAACUAGGUGUUAAAGUCUCUUUUUGCCCAGCUGACAAGUUUUGGUUCCUCAGGAUUUAAUACAGAGUAUUAUUGCUUUGAAAAGCAAA